UGAACACCAUGUUUAUCUAAUGGACCAUGACAGACAGCAAGAACAAGCACAGUUGGAGACAGUGAUCUCUCAAAGUAUUUUCCAAACAAGAGCUAGAACAAGAAGGAAGGAGGGCCAUUGAGUGAAAUUUACCUAUUGGAGAUUCAACCAACUCCAUUAUGAAUUGCAUAGAGAAAAUUCCUAAGGAAAUCAGAGAGUCUGACUGUCUUACAUGGUGUUCUUAAAUGGUGUGAAGUAGUCAAGAGAAAAAGCAAGGAGGAGGGAGAAAUCUAGCUGGAUUUUGGAGGUGAUCAUGUUGUAAGUAAAUGUUCACAGAAAAGGAGGUUAUUCAGCUAACUGAUACAGUAAACAUCACUUUGGAAGACUGCUCUAUUUACACAGGAAUUUGGGGAAGAAAUGUUGGAGAGACUAUAAAUAUUAAGAAAAUUACAAAGUCAGUAAGGCUGCAGGAGAUGGAGAGCUUGAAGCUGAAAUCAGAGAAACAGCAAGUUUUGUAAGAACAUCUAACAGAGAAUGAAGUAUUGCUCAGGCUAAAUAAACGAGGAAGCCAUCUUGUUUUCCGCAUCACUGGCUCCAGCGCUAUAGAUCUCCAUGACAACACGAGCCGGUUUGCCUGGUGUGAAGACAACAGUGUAGCCCUCAUUUCCUAAAUGCACGUUUCCACUAAAGUUGAAUCACCAAUUAAAAGACUCCUGUCUGUCCUUGGGGGCUUCAGAGAUGCAAAUAGUCUUGGGGAGGCUGGCUGGUCAGCUGCUGCACCUAGUAUCCCCUCCUGAGUAUUUUAAAAUAAAACGACUCAUUUAAAAAGUAUUUCUGAAUCACACCGAAUAAGAGUUAAUACUCGAAAUCAAAAAAACUUGCUUGAAAUUGUGAACUACUAACCUUGUUAUAACUUGUGAUUAUUCUUUAAAUCCGUAAAAAAAGAGUAUUCUAAAUGUGUUUUUAAGUAACUUAUUAUUAUAUUAUGGUAUACACAAUGAUGUUUGUUAACACUUUGUAAAUCAUUAUGUGAAUAAUAUAGACUGUAAUAAUAAAAGUUAAUAUAGAUUCUUUAAAAAAUAUGAAAAAGUGUGAUGAUUACAAAAAAGUGAAAUUUUAAUUUUAUUCUGAAUAUAUUCAUAAAAAAUGCCUUUAUAUGUUAAAGCAAGGAAAUAUAAAAGAAGUUUUUAAAGAUCCAGAUUCAUAAAAGACAAUUUCCUUGGCAUUUAAUGCUCAAACUAUAAAUGUCAUUAGUGAGUUUUGAUUUUAAUAAAAAAAUGUAUACCUGUCUUACAGGGUAAAUGAAGAAACUAAAAAAUUUAACAAAAGUAUUUUUGAAUAAAUAUAAUAAUUUUUAAAAUAUAGAUCAGUAUUAUUUUUGCGUAUAAGGAUAAGUGACAACUAAUGUUAUCUAUACCUCCCUAAUGUAUACUACUCUAUAAAUUUCUCUUUUCUGUAUCAAUUUGAUGAGUAUGUAUUUCAGUUUUGACAUUUUACUAUCCUUGUUUACAAAUGAAAUACUAAAAAUAUCCAAAUUAUGUUACUCAAUAUAUUUCUAUUUUAUAGUAAGAAAGGGAGGAUAUAAGAAGUUCAACAAAAUUGAUUUUCAGGUAAAAUUACCCAUUUCCAGUAAUAUGCACAUGAUAAAGACAUCCAUU